UGCUUAGUUAAACUAUACUAAGUAGACUCUGCCCAAUGAAUUAACUUAAAUGGCCGCAGUAUCCUAACUGUGCUAAGGUAGCAUAAUAAUUUGCCUCUUAAUUAGAGGCUGGAAUGAAUGAGCUGACGAAGGGUAAACUGUCUCCGCAGGACUGAUCUAACUUGAUAUUUAUGUAAAAAAGCAUAAAUUCAAUAGGGGGACGAUAAGACCCUAAAAGCUUCUCCUUAAACUUUUUCUAACCUUUAAUCUUAAAAAGAGCUACAGGAUUUUACUGGGGCGGUAAAUCUCAAAACAAGAAAUAUUUAUACACACUGAGUGUUUUUUACUACCUUUUUUUUAAUACAAAAUUAAGUUACUUUAGGGAUAACAGCACUAUUUCUUGAUAGAGUUCGUAUCGACCAAGAAGAUUGUGACCUCGAUGUUGAAUUGAAGAAUCUCCUCGGAGCAGUAUCUAAAGCGGAAAGACUGUUCGUCUUUUAAAUCUUCAC
rnacentral:rRNA from 1 species